UCGCUUCGGCAGCGCAUGUGCUAAAAUGGGAAUGAUACAGUGAAGAUUAGCAUGGCCCUUGUGCAAGCAUGGAAUGCAAAAUCUAAAUGCGGAGAGCCAGGUUUGU